CUGGCGGCGUGCCUAAUACAUGCAAGUCAACGGCUUUUCUAUGGAAGCUUGCUUCCACUGAGAAGAUAGUGGCGAACGGGUGAGUAACACGUGGGUAACCUGCCCAUAAGAGGGGGGAUAACAUCCGGAAACGGGUGCUAAUACCGCAUAGUUUUCUUGAUCGCAUGAUUGAGAAAGGAAAGACGGCCUUUGUGCUGUCGCUUAUGGAUGGACCCGCGGCGUAUUAGUUAGUUGGUGAGGUAACGGCUCACCAAGACGAUGAUACGUAGCCGACCUGAGAGGGUGAUCGGCCACAUUGGGACUGAGACACGGCCCAAACUCCUACGGGAGGCAGCAGUAGGGAAUCUUCCGCAAUGGACGAAAGGUCUGACGGAGCAACGCCGCGUGAGUGAAGAAAAGGUUUUUCGGAUCGUAAAACUCUGUUGUCAGAGAAGAACAAGUUGGAGAGUAACUGCUCCAGCCUUGACGGUAUCUGACCAGAAAAGCCACGGCUAACUACGUGCCAGCCGCAGC
rnacentral:rRNA from 1 species